rnacentral:rRNA from 1 species
AUUGAACGCUGGCGGCAUGCUUUACACAUGCAAGUCGAACGGUAACAGGGAGCUUGCCCCGCUGACGAGUGGCGAACGGGUGAGUAAUGCGUCGGAACGUGCCGAGUAGUGGGGGAUAACGCAGCGAAAGUUGUGCUAAUACCGCAUACGUACUGAGGUAGAAAGUGGGGGACCUUCGGGCCUCACGCUAUUCGAGCGGCCGACGUCUGAUUGGCUAGUAGGUGAGGUAAAGGCUCACCUAGGCGACGAUCAGUAGCGGGUCUGAGAGGAUGAUCCGCCACACUGGGACUGAGACACGGCCCAGACUCCUACGGGAGGCAGCAGUGGGGAAUUUUGGACAAUGGGCGAAAGCCUGAUCCAGCCAUGCCGCGUGUCUGAAGAAGGCCUUCGGGUUGUAAAGGACUUUUGUCGGGGAGGAAAUCCCCAGCGCUAAUACCGCUGGGGGAUGACAGUACCUGAAGAAUAAGCACCGGCUAACUACGUGCCAGCAGCCGCGGUAAUAC